GAUGAAGAACGUAGCGAAAUGCGAUACGUAAUGUGAAUUGCAGAAUUCAGUGAAUCAUCGAAUCUUUGAACGCAUAUUGCGCUCUCUGGUAUUCCGGAGAGCAUGCUUGUUUGAGUAUCAGUAAACACCUCAACUCCCUUUCUUCUUGAAAUGGAGCUGGACUUGAGUGAUCCCAACGCUUUAUUCAUAAAGUGGCGGGUUACUUGAAAUGCAGGUGCAGCUGGACUUUUCUCUGAGCUAUAAGCAUAUCUAUUUAGUCUGCCUCAAAACAGAUUAUUACCUUUGCUGCAGCUAACAUAAAGGAGAUUAGUUCUUGUGCUGACUGAUGCAGGAUUCACAAUGACCGCUUCGGCUGUCUUUGUAAACUCGAUCUCAAAUCAAGUAAGACUACCCGCUGAACUUAAGCAUAUCAAUAACGGAGGA
rnacentral:misc_RNA from 1 species